ACAUAGGGCAAUCUGUCUUGAAGUAGGGAUAAAUUACUCUGAAAAAAAAAAAAAUCAUAGUUUUCCCUUCAAGUGUUUUGU
rnacentral:pre_miRNA from 1 species